rnacentral:rRNA from 1 species
ACGGGUGAGUAAUGUCUGGGAAACUGCCUGAUGGAGGGGGAUAACUACUGGAAACGGUAGCUAAUACCGCAUAAUGUCGCAAGACCAAAGUGGGGGACCUUCGGGCCUCAUGCCAUCAGAUGUGCCCAGAUGGGAUUAGCUAGUAGGUGGGGUAACGGCUCACCUAGGCGACGAUCCCUAGCUGGUCUGAGAGGAUGACCAGCCACACUGGAACUGAGACACGGUCCAGACUCCUACGGGAGGCAGCAGUGGGGAAUAUUGCACAAUGGGCGCAAGCCUGAUGCAGCCAUGCCGCGUGUGUGAAGAAGGCCUUCGGGUUGUAAAGCACUUUCAGCGGGGAGGAAGGCGUUAAGGUUAAUAACCUUGUCGAUUGACGUUACCCGCAGAAGAAGCACCGGCUAACUCCGUGCCAGCAGCCGCGGUAAUACGGAGGGUGCAAGCGUUAAUCGGAAUUACUGGGCGUAAAGCGCACGCAGGCGGUCUGUCAAGUCGGAUGUGAAAUCCCCGGGCUCAACCUGGGAACUGCAUUCGAAACUGGCAGGCUAGAGUCUUGUAGAGGGGGGUAGAAUUCCAGGUGUAGCGGUGAAAUGCGUAGAGAUCUGGAGGAAUACCGGUGGCGAAGGCGGCCCCCUGGACAAAGACUGACGCUCAGGUGCGAAAGCGUGGGGAGCAAACAGGAUUAGAUACCCUGGUAGUCCACGCCGUAAACGAUGUCGAUUUGGAGGUUGUGCCCUUGAGGCGUGGCUUCCGGAGCUAACGCGUUAAAUCGACCGCCUGGGGAGUACGGCCGCAAGGUUAAAACUCAAAUGAAUUGACGGGGGCCCGCACAAGCGGUGGAGCAUGUGGUUUAAUUCGAUGCAACGCGAAGAACCUUACCUGGUCUUGACAUCCACAGAACUUUCCAGAGAUGGAUUGGUGCCUUCGGGAACUGUGAGACAGGUGCUGCAUGGCUGUCGUCAGCUCGUGUUGUGAAAUGUUGGGUUAAGUCCCGCAACGAGCGCAACCCUUAUCCUUUGUUGCCAGCGGUCCGGCCGGGAACUCAAAGGAGACUGCCAGUGAUAAACUGGAGGAAGGUGGGGAUGACGUCAAGUCAUCAUGGCCCUUACGACCAGGGCUACACACGUGCUACAAUGGCAUAUACAAAGAGAAGCGACCUCGCGAGAGCAAGCGGACCUCAUAAAGUAUGUCGUAGUCCGGAUUGGAGUCUGCAACUCGACUCCAUGAAGUCGGAAUCGCUAGUAAUCGUAGAUCAGAAUGCUACGGUGAAUACGUUCCCGGGCCUUGUACACACCGCCCGUCACACCA